rnacentral:rRNA from 1 species
GACGAACGCUGGCGGCGUGCUUAACACAUGCAAGUCGAACGGAAAGGCCCUGCUUUUGUGGGGUGCUCGAGUGGCGAACGGGUGAGUAACACGUGAGUAACCUGCCCUUGACUUUGGGAUAACUUCAGGAAACUGGGGCUAAUACCGGAUAGGAGCUCCUGCUGCAUGGUGGGGGUUGGAAAGUUUCGGCGGUUGGGGAUGGACUCGCGGCUUAUCAGCUUGUUGGUGGGGUAGUGGCUUACCAAGGCUUUGACGGGUAGCCGGCCUGAGAGGGUGACCGGCCACAUUGGGGCUGAGAUACGGCCCAGACUCCUACGGGAGGCAGCAGUGGGGAAUAUUGCACAAUGGGCGGAAGCCUGAUGCAGCAACGCCGCGUGCGGGAUGACGGCCUUCGGGUUGUAAACCGCUUUCGCCUGUGACGAAGCGUGAGUAACGGUAAUGGGUAAAGAAGCACCGGCUAACUACGUG